CAGCACCUCAAGUGGUCAGGAUGAUUAUUGGGCCUAAAGCAUCCGUAGCCGGCUCUGUAAGUUUUCGGUUAAAUCUGUACGCUCAACGUACAGGCUGCCGGGAAUACUGCGGAGCUAGGGAGUGGGAGAGGUAGACGGUACUCGGUAGGAAGGGGUAAAAUCCUUUGAUCUAUUGAUGACCACCUGUGGCGAAGGCGGUCUACCAGAACACGUCCGACGGUGAGGGAUGAAAGCUGGGGGAGCAAACCGGAUUAGAUACCCGAGUAGUCC
rnacentral:rRNA from 1 species